AUGGCAUGGUGGCGCGGUGGUGGCACGUCAGCGGCGAGGCGAGGAAGCGGCAGAGGAAGCGGGGAGAGAGUGCGUGGCGAUGUGGAUAGCGAUGGGAGGCCGCGUGGCGGGCAUAGCUAUUUAUAG
rnacentral:rRNA from 1 species